GAUGAAGAACGCAGCAAAAUGCGAUAAGUAAUGUGAAUUGCAGAAUUCAGUGAAUCAUCGAAUCUUUGAACGCACAUUGCGCCCGCUGGUAUUCCGGCGGGCAUGCCUGUUCGAGCGUCAUUUCAACCCUCAAGCCCCCGGGUUUGGUGUUGGGGAUCGGCUCUGCCCUUCUGGGCGGUGCCGCCCCCGAAAUACAUUGGCGGUCUCGCUGCAGCCUCCAUUGCGUAGUAGCUAACACCUCGCAACUGGAACGCGGCGCGGCCAUGCCGUAAAACCCCAACUUCUGAAUGUUGACCUCGGAUCAGGGAGGAAUACCCGCUGAACUUAAGCAUAUCAAUAAGCGGAGGA
rnacentral:misc_RNA from 1 species